AUACACGCACAAAAACUUCAACUGAAUUGGUUGAAGUGCUUUUAUUAGAACAAAAACCGAACGGCGUUUGACGAAUGUUGAACGUCGAAACUGUUUGGUGAAUCUGAAUAACUAUUUCUGAUCGCAUGGUCUAGCACCGGCGACAUCACUUUCAAGUGUCUGCCUUAUCAACCUUCGAUGGUAGUCUAUGCGACUACCAUGGUGAUAACGGGUAACGGAGAAUCAGGGUUCGACUCCGGAGAGGGAGCCUGAGAAACGGCUACCACAUCCAAGGAAGGCAGCAGGCGCGCAAAUUACCCACUCCCAGCUUGGGGAGGUAGUGACGAAAAAUAACGAGACGAUUCUCGUUUGAGAAACGUUAUCGAAAUGAGUACGCUUUACACACGCUAACGAGUAGCAAUUGGAGGGCAAGUCUGGUGCCAGCAGCCGCGGUAAUUCCAGCUCCAAUAGCGUAUAUUAAAGUUGCUGCGGUUAAAACGCUCGUAGUUGAAUUGUGGUCUUAGACAACAGUCCCCCUACAAAGGUGUGGCACGGUUGCUCGAGAUCUUCAUUCGUGGUUGCUGUUGUUGCUCUUCAUUGAGUGUCAAUGGUGCCUCGAGAUUUUACUUUGAAAAAAUUAGAGUGCUCAAAGCAGGUUGUGAUGCCUGAAUAAUGGUGCAUGGAAUAAUAGAAUACGAUCUCGGUUCUAUUUUGUUGGUUUUCGAACCGGAGAUAAUGAUUGAAAGGAACAGACGGGGGCAUUCGUAUUGCUGCGUUAGAGGUGAAAUUUCUUGGAAUCGCAGCAAGAUGAAACAAUUUGCCAAAAGCCAUUUUGCCCAAGAAAUGUUUUUCAUCUCAAUCCAAGAA
rnacentral:ncRNA from 1 species